GAACCACGUAUUUGACGAUUAGUGGACUGUGUGCGUGGUUAUUGGUCGAUUAGAGGGUGUACUACGGGCUUUAGUCUGACUACCUGCGAGAAUCAGGAAGGCACUGUUUUCCGUGCAUGGGUAGCUUUCCACACAACCCUAAACUGUACGAUUCAUUUACCUACGAUAAACAAAACCUUGCCGGCUUUCCCGGUAGAUUAUUCAUUUUCUUGCUUCAUCGUGCUAGAAACAGUCGUGCUUGGAGUUUGCUCAUCAAAAAUAGCAUCAAUGGCUCCAUUAGGUUUCAAAGUGCCUUGCGAAUAUUCCUCCGAAGAUGGAACGUAGCGUUUCAUCGGACAGGAAUAUCUCGCAGAGGCAAUAUCACGUUUCGAAAACACUUUGUUGUACGUUUUUAUCGGAAAGGGCAGAGAAGAUGUGAAAGAUGAGAUGAUGUAUAUAAACGAUUUAUAUGGAAGGUUUUGCUAUAUAAAGAUUGAACAUAAACAUCUCAAUUUAAUAUGAUUGGAUAAAUAAAUUAGUAGAAUUAAAA